rnacentral:rRNA from 2 species
AUGCCGGCGAGCGGCGGACGGGUGAGUAAUGCCUAGGAAUCUGCCUGGUAGUGGGGGAUAACUCGGGGAAACUCGAGCUAAUACCGCAUACGUCCUACGGGAGAAAGCGGGGGAUCUUCGGACCUCGCGCUACCAGAUGAGCCUAGGUCGGAUUAGCUAGUUGGUGAGGUAAAGGCUCACCAAGGCGACGAUCCGUAGCUGGUCUGAGAGGAUGAUCAGCCACACUGGAACUGAGACACGGUCCAGACUCCUACGGGAGGCAGCAGUGGGGAAUAUUGGACAAUGGGCGAAAGCCUGAUCCAGCCAUGCCGCGUGUGUGAAGAAGGUCUUCGGAUUGUAAAGCACUUUAAGUUGGGAGGAAGGGCAGUAAGUUAAUACCUUGCUGUUUUGACGUUACCGACAGAAUAAGCACCGGCUAACUUCGUGCCAGCAGCCGCGGUAAUACGAAGGGUGCAAGCGUUAAUCGGAAUUACUGGGCGUAAAGCGCGCGUAGGUGGUUUGAUAAGUUGGAUGUGAAAGCCCCGGGCUCAACCUGGGAAUUGCAUCCAAAACUGUCUGACUAGAGUAUGGCAGAGGGUGGUGGAAUUUCCUGUGUAGCGGUGAAAUGCGUAGAUAUAGGAAGGAACACCAGUGGCGAAGGCGACCACCUG